UACAGAGGGGGCGAGCGUUGUUCGGAAUUACUGGGCGUAAAGGGCGCGUAGGCGGCCCGCUAAGUCGAACGUGAAAUCCCCAGGCUCAACCUGGGAACUGCGUCCGAUACUGGCAGGCUUGAAUCCGGGAGAGGGAUGUGGAAUUCCAGGUGUAGCGGUGAAAUGCGUAGAUAUCUGGAGGAACACCGGUGGCGAAGGCGGCAUCCUGGACCGGUAUUGACGCUGAGGUGCGAAAGCUAGGGUAGCGAACGGG
rnacentral:rRNA from 1 species